rnacentral:rRNA from 1 species
ACCCUUUUCGAGGCCAGANNNUANGGGGNGNAGCAGGCGCGAACCUUCAAGGGCAGGAAACUGUGACGAGGGAAUUCCAAGCGGCAUGACUAUGNNAUGNCNNUUACCAACUUUUAAUCUGUUGGUGAAUAAGGGGUGGGAAAGACCGGUGCCAGCCGCCGCGGUAAUACCGGCACCUCAAGUGGUCGUCGCUUUUAUUGGGCCUAAAACGUCCGUAGCCGGUCUGGUACAUUCGUGGGUAAAUCAACCGUCUUAAGCGAUUGAAUUCUGCGAGCACGGCCAGACUAGGGACUGGGAGAGGUGUGGGGUACUCUCGGGGUAGGGGUAAAAUCCUGUCAUCCCGAGUUUUUUUUUCUGUUGCGAAGGCGCCACACUAGAACGGAUCCGACGGUCAGGGACGAAGCCUAGGGGCACGAACCGGAUUAGAUACCCGGGUAGUCCUAGGUGUAAACGCUGUGGACUUGGUGUUGGGGAUUCUACGAGUAUCCUCAGUGCCGUAGUGAAGAUGUUUAGUCCACUGCCUGGGGAGUACGGUCGCAAGGCUGAAACUUAAAGGAAUUGGCGGGGGAGCACUGCAACGAGAGGAGCGUGCGGUUUAAUUGGAUCCAACGCCGGAAAACUCACCAGAGCCGACGGACAUAUGAAGAUCAGCGUGAUGAGCUUAUUGGAUUGUUCGAGAGGUAGUGCAUGGCCGUCGUCAGUUCGUACCGUAAGGCGUUCUGUUAAGUCAGAUAACGAACGAGACCCCCAUCGCUAUUUGCCAGACGGAUCUCCGGAUUCGUCGCACUAUAGCGAGACCGCUGGCGUGAAGUCAGAGGAAGGCGGGGGCAACGACAGGUCAGUAUGCUCCGAAUGCUCUGGGCUACACCCGCGCUUCAAAGGCAGGAAAUGGGGACGCACUCGAAAGGAGGCCCUAUCCGAACCUGGUCCUAAUUCGAAUCAAGGCUGUAACUCC